AAUAACACAAAUGUUAAAGAAAACAAACACUACCAUAUUUGGUCCCGAUCGAUACUUAACAAUAGCAACAAGAAACCUAUUAGUCGAUUCUAGUGCCCAAAGCACCAACCACUAAAAGAAACUUGCAUUCGAUAAGACCUUGAUUAUUUUCUUAAGAAUCAAAUUAAGAAAAAAAUCACAAAGGAUUUGCAUCAUCGCAGUCGAAACUACCUUGAGGAUCUGCUGUCGAAGUGGACCACGUUAGCACGUCACUGGAUAGACGAGAUCUAGGGCUUGGCCGACCUCAAAUUUGAGAUCCAAAAAUCGACCUUCCCGGUCUAGCUCGCAAUCGAUGGUGACUGCGGCCUGCUCAGUAAGAAUCAAUGGUGACGGGCUGUUGUGGAGGCGAUGACGGUGGUUGAGGGUGGAGGCAACAAGGCAGCAGCAACGACGAAGGGAUGGCUGUUUCCGGUGAGAGUGGCGAGUUGAAAUUGAAGAGGGAUGAGGUGUUGAUUGGCAGCAACAGCCAUGGACUGAACUGUUGAGCUUCCGAUGGACAAAUGCGAGGGUGAUGUCGGUUUUGGAGAGCUGUGGGUUGCUUGUGGGGGCGAUUGUUCAGCAAACAAGGGCCAAAGCAGGGAGAAGCAGAACAUGAAGGGCAGUUCCGAUCGUGGACGGUUGCUGCUCUAGCUUUGGCGAUACCAGAACAGAGCUUCCUCUGUUUUUCAGUGGCUGUUUCAGUCGGCCAAAGGGAAACCGAAGCAGGGGAGCCGAAACAGGGGACCGAAACCUUUAAUGAAGAAGAAGACAAGGGGAUUUUCGGCUGAGGAAAAGAAAGGAAAAGGAAAGAAGGAGAAAGGAAGAGAGAGG
rnacentral:lncRNA from 1 species